rnacentral:rRNA from 1 species
UACGUAGGGUGCAAGCGUUGUCCGGAAUUAUUGGGCGUAAAGAGCUCGUAGGCGGAUCGAUCAGUCAGGGGUGAAAUCCCAGGGCUCAACCCUGGAACUGCCUUUGAUACUGUCGAUCUGGAGUAUGGAAGAGGUGAGUGGAAUUCCGAGUGUAGAGGUGAAAUUCGUAGAUAUUCGGAGGAACACCAGUGGCGAAGGCGGCUCACUGGUCCAUUACUGACGCUGAGGUGCGAAAGCGUGGGGAGCAAACAGG